AGAGUUUGAUCCUGGCUCAGAGCGAACGCUGGCGGCAUGCUUAACACAUGCAAGUCGCACGGGCAGGGCAACCUGUCAGUGGCGGACGGGUGAGUAACGCGUAGGAAUCUAUCUCCGGGUGGGGGACAACCGUGGGAAACUACGGCUAAUACCGCAUGAUACCUGAGGGUCAAAGGCGCAAGUCGCCUGGAGAGGAGCCUGCGUCCGAUUAGCUUGUUGGUGGGGUAAAGGCCUACCAAGGCUCCGAUCGGUAGCUGGUCUGAGAGGAUGAUCAGUCACACUGGGACUGAGACACGGCCCAGACUCCUACGGGAGGCAGCAGUGGGGAAUAUUGGACAAUGGGCGAAAGCCUGAUCCAGCAAUGCCGCGUGGGUGAAGAAGGUCUUCGGAUUGUAAAGCCCUUUCGGCGGGGACGAUGAUGACGGUACCCGCAGAAGAAGCCCCGGCUAACUUCGUGCCAGCAGCCGCGGUAAUACGAAGGGGGCUAGCGUUGCUCGGAAUGACUGGGCGUAAAGGGCGCGUAGGCGGUUCGUACAGUUGGAUGUGAAAUUCCUGGGCUCAACCUGGGGGCUGCAUUCAAUACGUGCGAGCUUGAGUUCGGAAGAGGGUCGUGGAAUUCCCAGUGUAGAGGUGAAAUUCGUAGAUAUUGGGAAGAACACCGGUGGCGAAGGCGGCGACCUGGUCCGAUACUGACGCUGAGGCGCGAAAGCGUGGGGAGCAAACAGGAUUAGAUACCCCAGUAGUCC
rnacentral:rRNA from 1 species